UACGUAGGGGGCAAGCGUUGUCCGGAAUCAUUGGGCGUAAAGCGCGUGUAGGCGGUCCGGUAAGUCCGCUGUGAAAGUCGGGGGCUUAACCCUCGGAUGCCGGUGGAUACUGUCGGGCUUGAGUACGGAAGAGGCGAGUGGAAUUCCUGGUGUAGCGGUGAAAUGCGCAGAUAUCAGGAGGAACACCGAUGGCGAAGGCAGGUCUCUGGGCAUUAACUGACGCUGAGGAGCGAAAGCAUGGGGAGCAAACGGG
rnacentral:rRNA from 1 species